AAUGGUUAUGCAAUAACAUUGACGUUACAUGACGGAGAGGCAAUUUAACGCUAAUGCGCAAGUUACGUGCAAUAUUGUCUUUGCUGGCCAUGGUAUUCGAAUGGUAAAAAUUGGGAAGCUUUGAAAUGAACUGUGCUUUGUACCUAUGUGAGGAAGAAAUCUGAACAUGUUCCCAAUGAUCGGCAGUGCCCUUGGUCCUGGUAUUUCAUCGAAUGACUUGGCCUCGUUCCAUUCCGUUUCCUCAGGACUCUUUACAUCCGCUUGUAACACUGUGCUGGCAUAACGUUCAAUCAAGCCAAUAUUAAGCACGUUACCUUUCGCACCAGCGAGCAAAGCACUGCGAACCAACAUUGCUCUUUGGUAUGACAUGGAAAGUUUCUUUGUGUAAUUUCAAUUGGCAACACUUUGAGAAUUCUUUGUGCAAUUUCAGAUUGCCCUACUGACGUUGAUGACUGGAUUGUAUUACUGGAAGUAUUCACUGGAACCACUGCACUAUCAACCGCUAACGUCAAGACUUGUAAAGUGAAUGACGAGCAAAUGAAGCGUGGUGCUGUGUUUAAUGAUAGGAUUACGUCAUCAAGUCAUUUAUCUUACUGAUCCGGAUAUACUUGAUCCAGCAGGAGGAAUUUCUCGGUCUCAUUCUAUAUAUUGACAACGAGGGUCAAUAACAUCUCGGUAUUACUUGAGCACCUGGAACACCGAUAUAGUACUUUGCGAUACAAGUGCGAGAAAGCGAACUUUAUAGGCAGGCGGUGAAGUUGGUCGCACGAGCCGCACACGAGUAACACAACGGCACGAGCCGAAGACGAGUGCUGUUUGUUUUACGAGUGCGGCGAG